rnacentral:misc_RNA from 1 species
GAUGAAGAACGUAGCGAAAUGCGAUAAGUAGUGUGAAUUGCAGAAUUCAGUGAAUCAUCGAAUCUUUGAACGCACAUUGCGCCUCCUGGCAUUCCGGGAGGCAUGCCUGUUCGAGCGUCAUCAAACCCCAUCGUGCAAAUGAAUUAUUUUUUUUGCGCGGAAGUGACGAUUGAGCGAGAAUAACAAAUCCUCUCGCACCUCGUCGAAAUGAUUGCGGGCGGAAUUUGGGAUUGGGUUCCUCGGCGUAGUGUAUCAAUGCAUAUUUAUGCAACUUGCCGCGGAGUUGAGCCUGACCCACGCGUUCUCGCCGUACAAACACCUCAUUACUUUACAAGUUUUUGACCUCGGAUCAGGUAGGGAUACCCGCUGAACUUAAGCAUAUCAAUAAGCGGAGGA